rnacentral:rRNA from 1 species
GACGUAGGAGGCGAGCGUUAUCCGGAUUUAUUGGGCGUAAAGGGCAAGUAGGCGGUUAGGCAAGUUGUGCGUGACAGUUCCCGGCUUAACUGGGAGAGGUCGUACAAUACUGUCUGACUAGAGGGCAGGAGAGGGAAGCGGAACUCCAAUGUAGCGGUGGAAUGCUCAGAUAUUAGGAAGAACACCAGUGGCGAAGGCGGCUUUCUGGCCUGCACCUGACGCUGAGAGGCGAAAGCUAGGGGAGCGAACGG